rnacentral:lncRNA from 1 species
UGGGGUGGAUGAAGAGCAAGUUCAGGCACCUCUCCUGAUCUCCAGGACCUUGCCAAGAUGAUGGAGAGUGGCCUAGCGAUAACAUCCGCCAGCUCCCUCAGCACUCGUGGGUGCAUCCCAGCUGGAAGUAGCCUCAUGUUCACAGGCCCUGGUUCUCCCGGGAGACUUCAACCACCCUGACAUCUGUUGGGGAGACAGCACAGCUAGGCACAAACAGUCGAGGAGGUUCCUGCAGAGGAUUGAGGAUAAUUUCUUGACUCAGGUGGUGGAGACGCCAACGAGGAGAGGUGCACUGCUAGACCUUGUACUAAUGAACAAAGAAGGUCUAGUUGGAGAGGUGAAGGUUGGGGGCAGCCUUGGCUGCAGUGACCAUGAGAUGGUGGAGUUCAGGAUCCUCCGAGGAGGGAGCAGGGCAAUGAGUAGGAUUGCAACGCUGGACUUCAGGAGAGCUGACUUUGGCCUCUUGAGGGACCUACUUAGGGGAAUCUCAUGGGGUAGGGCCCUAGAAGGAAGAGGGGUCCAAGAAAGCUGGUUAAUAUUCAAGCAUCACUUCCUCCAGGCUCAAGAUCGGUGCAUCCCUCUGAGGAAGACGUCGAGCAAAGCGGGCAGGAGACCUGCAUGGAUGAGCAAGGAACUCCUGACAAAACUCCAGCAGAAGAAGGAAGUGUACAGAAUGUGGAAAAGGGGACAGGCCACUGGGGAGGAAUACAGGGACGUUGUCAGAGCGUGCAGGGAUGCGACAAGGAAGGCUAAGGCCCAGGGAUGCCCAGGAAGGCUGGCAAGGGAUGUCAAGGACAACAGGAAGGGGUUCUUCAAAUACAUCCAUAGCAAAAGGAAGACUAGGGAAAACGUGGGCCCGCUGCAGAAUGGGGCGGGUGCCCUGGUGACGAAGGAUACAGAGAAGGCAGAGUUACUGAAUGCUGCCUUUGCUUCAGUCUUCACUGCUAAGGCCAGUCCUCAGGAAUUCCAGACCUUGGAGACAAGAGAGGAAGGCUGGAGAAAGGAAGACUCUCCCUUGGUUGAGGAGGAUCAGGUUAGAGAUCUUUUGUCCAAACUGGACAUCCAUAAAUCCAUGGGCCCNNNNNNNNNNNNNNNNNNNNNN